rnacentral:pre_miRNA from 1 species
GGGGGGAGUGCCGAAUCUUGGGCUGUGUCCCCAAGCGCCCUGGGCUCUGGGGCUUGCACAGCUGGAAUCAUGCUCCCGGGCCGUGCAGCCCCCU